rnacentral:rRNA from 1 species
UACGUAGGCAGCAAGCGUUGUUCGGAAUUACUGGGCGUAAAGCGCGCGUAGGCGGACCUGCAAGUCGGGGGUGAAAGCCCGAGGCUCAACCUCGGAACUGCCUUCGAUACUGCGGGUCUCGAGUCCGGGAGAGGUGAGUGGAAUUCCUAGUGUAGAGGUGAAAUUCGUAGAUAUUAGGAAGAACACCAGUGGCGAAGGCGGCUCACUGGCCCGGUACUGACGCUGAGGCGCGAAAGCGUGGGGAGCAAACAGG